rnacentral:misc_RNA from 1 species
UUUCCGUAGGUGAACCUGCGGAAGGAUCAUUAUUGUAUAACCGAGGUGCGAGGGCUGUCGCUGACCCGAAAGGUCGUGCACGCCCGAGUGCCCUCACACACAUCCAUCUCACCCCUAUGUGCACCACCGCGUGGGUCCCCCUUUGGCUUGUUCGGAGGGGGGCUUACGUUUUCACACAAACUUUGUAUGCAGUGUAGAGCGUAUUUUUUGUUUUUGCGAUCACGCAAUCAAUACAACUUUCAACAACGGAUCUCUUGGCUCUCGCAUCGAUGAAGAAUGCAGC